rnacentral:rRNA from 1 species
GUAGGGAAUAUUGGGCAAUGGAUGCAAGUCUGACCCAGCCAUGCCGCGUGGAGGAAGAAGGUCCUCUGGAUUGUAAACUCCUUUUUUGGGGGAAGAAUAGUUCUCUUGCGAGGGAAUGUGACGGUACCCUAAGAAUAAGCCACGGCUAACUACGUGCCAGCAGCCGCGGUUAUACGUAGGUUGCAAGCGUUGUCCGGAUUUAUUGGGUUUAAUGGGUGCGUAGGUGGUUUUAUAAGUCAGUGGUGAAAGCUGGUUGAUCAACAAUCAAGUUGCCAUGGAUACUGUCGGACUUGAGAGAAGUGGAGGUUCAUGGAAUGGAUGGUGUAGCGGUGAAAUGCAUCGAAAUCAUCCAGAACGUCGAUUGCGAAGGCAGUGGGCUGUACUUUAUCUGACACUGAGGCACGAAAGUGUGGGGAUCAAACAGGAUUAGAUACCCCUGUAGUCC